UCCCAUUGCUAAGUCAGGGCUUCUUCCGGCACUCGUUGCAACUCUCUAUGGAAGUAGUCCGUUACAGCUUUGGGAGAUCAAGCUCGUCCCGCCGCUUCUUGCCGUCAUGGCUUUGGAGUUGGUCAUUCUCCGUCUUGGGGUUUGUCCGCAAGGGUCUGAGAAUGAUUCGUUUGAGUUGAGGGCCGUGUCCGCAUUCAGUGGCCUUCAUGGCGGUCCUCUUAGUAACGUUUCAUACACGC
rnacentral:snoRNA from 1 species